rnacentral:rRNA from 1 species
GACGAACGCUGGCGGCGUGCCUAAUACAUACAAGUCGAGCGAAGUUUUUCUGGUGCUUGCACUAGAAAAACUUAGCGGCGAACGGGUGAGUAACACGUAAAGAACCUGCCUCAUAGACUGGGACAACUAUUGGAAACGAUAGCUAAUACCGGAUAACAGUAUUUCUCGCAUGAGAGAUAUUUAAAAGUUGGUUAUGCUAACACUAUGAGAUGGCUUUGCGGUGCAUUAGCUAGUUGGUGGGGUAAAGGCCCACCAAGGCGACGAUGCAUAGCCGACCUGAGAGGGUGAUCGGCCACACUGGGACUGAGACACGGCCCAGACUCCUACGGGAGGCAGCAGUAGGGAAUCUUCCGCAAUGGGCGAAAGCCUGACGGAGCAACGCCGCGUGAGUGAAGAAGGAUUUCGGUUCGUAAAGCUCUGUUGUUAGGGAAGAAUGGAUAUGUAGUAACUAUACAUGUAAGAGACGGUACCUAACCAGAAAGCCACGGCUAACUACGUG